CCCACCCUUCCCCGUCCAACAACACCUCAGGGGGAAGCAGGGGAAGAUGCUCCCGGGGAUGCGGGAGGAGGCGGCAGCCGGGAUCCCACCUUGGGGCGGAGGAGAUAAGGAGAUCAUGGAGGGAUCCUAGAAAACCAUCUCACACCUAGGGAAGGGCUAGAUGGGGGAAAUUGUGGCUGAAGGAAUAACUCUUGGGACUGAUUUAGAUUUAACUAGCAGAUUCCCCAGGCUGAACCCCUCCACUGGGCUGAAUUUAGCAGCAGAAGAGAUAACCAGGAGAUAAGGACUGAUACCCGGGAGGACAGAGGGAGACCAGCAGGCAGCCGAGGGAAAAGGGAGAAGCCAGAGGCAGCGUCGGGAAGGGCUGUGUAUCCAGAUGUGUUGGGUUUCAGACAUGCAUUUCCUUCUCCACGCCUCGCAAAAUCCCUGGCGAUUUUCUCUACAAAAGCAACGUUUUGCUGAAGCUUCGUUGAAUUCUUACUGAAUAUCAGCGCUUUCCUUAAAAAAGAAAGCAAAGUGUCAAUUAAAUACAAUGAAACUGUCCCGAUCAUCUCUGCCAGCAGCAGAGCCGAUUUUAAGGACCUGCCUUGGCUUUGCCUUUUUCAGGGAAACCCAGAAAACAAACAAACAAACAAAAGAAAUAUCCAGUGGUCGGUUUUUCGGGAGCGUGGCCGGAUUCAGCCUCUUCCAGCAGGGAAAUAUCGGUCCUUAGUGCCGAGCAUCGCUUCGCCGGGGGUUCGCAACGCCGUGAGGAGCUAAGCCGAGCCUCAGCCCUGCUUAAACUAACAGCCGGGAGGGAGAGGAUGGAUUCUGGACACUUUUUAUCCUGUAAAAAAACGCAGAGGACGGGCACAGCAGAAUGCAGAGACGAGAACAAAAAUCACUGCUCUGCGCUCGGAGGAGUUUUUUUUUUUUUUUCCACUUGCGAUUACGGAGCAGAGUUAACGAAAUCUGACUGAAAGUUACCCUGCCGAACAAACCCCGGCCUUUCCACUCUUCUUUCCUGACCCUUCUUCUCCCCCAUGGAGAAAAUAAAUCGAUACGAUGCCAGUUUUCUCUCUUUUUUU